rnacentral:tRNA from 1 species
GGCUGGGUAGCUCAGUUGGUCAGAGCAGCGGAAUCAUAAUCCGCGGGUCGGCGGUUCAAGUCCGCCUCCAGCCACCA